UACAGAGGUCUCAAGCGUUGUUCGGAUUCAUUGGGCGUAAAGGGUGCGUAGGCGGCGCGGUAAGUCGGAUGUGAAAUCUCCAGGCUCAACCUGGAGGGGUCAUUCGAUACUGCCAUGACUAGAGGUCGGUAGGGGAGUGUGGAAUUCCUGGUGGAGCGGUGAAAUGCGCAGAUAUCAGGAGGAACACCCGUAGCGAAGGCGGCACUCUGGGCCGAUUCUGACACUGAGGAGCGAAAGCGUGGGGAGCGAACAGG
rnacentral:rRNA from 1 species